rnacentral:rRNA from 1 species
AGUGAACGCUGGCGGUAGGCCUAACACAUGCAAGUCGAACGGCAGCAUGGGCUUCGGCCUGAUGGCGAGUGGCGAACGGGUGAGUAAUGCAUCGGAACGUGCCGUGUAAUGGGGGAUAACAUAGCGAAAGUUGUGCUAAUACCGCAUACGUCCUACGGGAGAAAGCAGGGGAUCUUCGGACCUUGCGUUAUACGAGCGGCCGAUGUCCGAUUAGCUAGUUGGUGUGGUAAAGGCUCACCAAGGCGACGAUCGGUAGCGGGUCUGAGAGGACGAUCCGACACACUGGAACUGAGACACGGUCCAGACUCCUACGGGAGGCAGCAGUGGGGAAUUUUGGACAAUGGGCGAAAGCCUGAUCCAGCAAUGCCGCGUGAGUGAAGAAGGCCCUUGGGUUGUAAAGCUCUUUCGUUUGGGAAGAAGGAAGUGUGGCUAAUAUCCACGCUGACAGACGGUACCAAAAUAAGAAGCACCGGCUAACUACGUGCCAGCAGCCGCUGUAA